rnacentral:rRNA from 1 species
UACGAGGGGCCCAAACGUUAUUCGGAAUUACUGGGCUUAAAGAGUUCGUAGGCGGCGCAGCAAGUCGGGCGUGAAAGCCCUCGGCUUAACCGAGGAAUUGCGCCCUAAACUACUGUGCUUGAGGAACCUAGAGGUGAGCAGAACAGAUGGUGGAGCGGUGAAAUGCGUUGAUAUCAGCUGGAAUACCGGAGGCGAAGGCGGCUCACUGGGGGUUUUCUGACGCUGAGGAACGAAAGCCAGGGUAGCGAACGGG